rnacentral:rRNA from 1 species
UAGGGAAUCUUCCACAAUGGGCGAAAGCCUGAUGGAGCAACGCCGCGUGUGUGAUGAAGGCUUUCGGGUCGUAAAGCACUGUUGUAUGGGAAGAACUGCUAGAAUAGGAAAUGAUUUUAGUUUGACGGUACCAUACCAGAAAGGGACGGCUAAAUACGUGCUAG